GGGAUGAUAACUCAGAUGGUAGAGUGUCCGGUUGAAGCCCGGAUCGCGGAGGUUCGAUCCCUUCUCGUCCCA
rnacentral:tRNA from 2 species